rnacentral:rRNA from 1 species
GACGAACGCUGGCGGCGUGCUUAACACAUGCAAGUCGUACGGUAAGGCCCUUUCGGGGGUACACGAGUGGCGAACGGGUGAGUAACACGUGAGUAACCUGCCCACAACUUUGGGAUAACGCUAGGAAACUGGUGCUAAUACUGGAUAUGUGCUCCUGCUGCAUGGUGGGGGUUGGAGAGCUCCGGCGGUUGUGGAUGGACUCGCGGCCUAUCAGCUUGUUGGUGGGGUAGUGGCCUACCAAGGCGGCGACGGGUAGCCGGCCUGAGAGGGUGACCGGCCACAUUGGGACUGAGAUACGGCCCAGACUCCUACGGGAGGCAGCGGUGGGGAAUAUUGCACAAUGGGCGCAAGCCUGAUGCAGCAACGCCGCGUGCGGGAUGACGGCCUUCGGGUUGUAAACCGCUUUCAGCAGGGACGAAGCUUUUUGUGACGGUACCUGCAGAAGAAGCACCGGCUAACUACGUG